CCGUUCAGGGGUAAACGGAUGGAUCCUGGAAGGAUCACGACUUAGAGAUUCAGGCGGACCCAUUGUCGGCCAUCUGUUCGGACUGAUCGUUUGGCCCGAAUGCGCUUGGUAUCUCGACACCCGGGCAGGUGGUAUUUACCGGCUUGGGAUCUCCGCACUUCUCUUCGUCGGACCGUCACGACUCGUUGGAUUUUUGCCGACCAAUAGGCCUAGGGUGGAGCUUGCUCCGGGCCCGUCUUUACCGGAGUUAAACCCCUGGUGUCCUGGUUGGCGUUCGACGAUUACAACACGGAGUGUACCCGCCUUGAGGGCAUUCAGGCCUUAACACAGUUUGGUGGAUCGGCGUUUGGGACAAACCUAGUUUGGCCCAGGCCCUUUCCCCCUGUGGGUUUGGACUUCCUUGAAUAGGGUUUCUCGCUCCUGUCAGUGGCGUAUCCUGUAUUUGUGGACCAUCCGA
rnacentral:rRNA from 1 species